rnacentral:lncRNA from 1 species
AAUGUCUGAUCUCAUAUUUCUUGCAUCCAUAGCCUGGGACAAGAGGAUAUCAGUGGAGAUCUAGAGGAGCCCGAGAACUCUAAAACCUUCAACACAAUGUUAUUACCGUGAUCAAACUCAAAAUUAUGGAUGGCUUGUUCAAGGCAGUUGAUCAAACAUGAUUUCCUCCAAGUUUGUAAGUUAAGUAAGUAAAUGUUUGUUGAAUGAGUAAAUAAGUCAAAAUUCAAACAUGUACAAUUUAACUCUCAAUAUGAUCAUUUUCUGAAAUACUAAAACAUUAUAU